GUGUCAGCCGCCGCGGUAAUACAGAGGGUGCAAGCGUUAAUCGGAAUUACUGGGCGUAAAGGGCGCGUAGGCGGUUGAUUAAGUUGGAUGUGAAAUCCCUGGGCUUAACCUAGGAACUGCAUCCGAUACUGGUCAGCUAGAGCGCGGUAGAGGGUAGUGGAAUUUCCGGUGUAGCGGUGAAAUGCGUAGAUAUCGGAAGGAACACCAGUGGCGAAGGCGGCUACCUGGACUGACACUGACGCUGAGGCGCGAGAGCGUGGGGAGCAAACAGGAUUAGAUACCCUUGUAGUCC
rnacentral:rRNA from 1 species